UGAUCUGCCGGAGGUCACUGCUAUUGGGAUUCGAUUAAGCCAUGCGAGUCGAGAGGGUUCGGCCCUCGGCAGACUGCUCAGUAACACGUGGAUAAUCUGUCCUUAGGUGGAGCAUAAUCUCGGGAAACUGAGAAUAAUACUCCAUAGAUCUAGGAUGCUGGAAUGCACCUAGGUUGAAAGCUCCGGCGCCUAAGGGUGAGUCUGCGGACUAACAGGCUGUAGUCAGGGUAAAGACCUGACUAACCUACGACGGAUACGGGUUGUGAGAGCAAUAACCCGGAGACGAUAUCUGAGACACGAUAUCGGGCCCUACGGGGCGCAGCAGGCGCGAAACCUUCACACUGUGCGAAAGCGCGAUGAGGGAAUCCCAAGUGCUUGCACGUAAGUGUAAGCUGUUUCUGUGUCUAAAAAGCAUAGAGAGUAAGAGCUGGGUAAGACGGGUGCCAGCCGCCGCGGUAAUACCUGCAGCUCAAGUGGUGACCACUAUUAUUGGGCCUAAAACGUCCGUAGCCGGUUUAGUAAAUGUCUGGGUAAAUCGAGCCGCUUAACGGUUCGAAUUCCGGGUAGACUGCUAAACUUGAGACCGGGAGAGGCUAGAGGUACUCCUGGGGUAGAGGUGAAAUUCUGUAAUCCUGGGGGGACCACCAGUGGCGAAGGCGUCUAGCUAGAACGGGUCUGACGGUGAGGGACGAAGCCCUGGGGCGCAAACCGGAUUAGAUACCCGGGUAGUCCAGGGUGUAAACGCUGCUUGCUUGAUGUUAGUUGGGCUCUGAGCCCGAUUAGUGUCGGAGAGAAGUUGUUAAGCAAGCUACCUGGGAAGUACGGUCGCAAGGCUGAAACUUAAAGGAAUUGGCGGGGGAGCACAGCAACGGGUGGAGCGUGCGGUUUAAUUGGAUUCAACGCCGGG
rnacentral:rRNA from 1 species